GUACUGGGUUCAGCAGCACAUAUACUAAAACUGAAACGAUACAAAGAAGAUUAGCAUGGCCCCUGCGCAAGGAUGACAUGCAGCAUUCAAGUGGUGAGGGCUUUUUAU
ensembl:snRNA U6 U6 spliceosomal RNA